rnacentral:rRNA from 1 species
GAUGAACGCUGGCGGCGUGCCUAAUACAUGCAAGUCGAGCGAACAGACGAGGAGCUUGCUCCUCUGACGUUAGCGGCGGACGGGUGAGUAACACGUGGAUAACCUACCUAUAAGACUGGGAUAACUUCGGGAAACCGGAGCUAAUACCGGAUAAUAUAUUGAACCGCAUGGUUCAAUAGUGAAAGACGGUUUUGCUGUCACUUAUAUAUGGAUCCGCGCCGCAUUAGCUAGUUGGUAAGGUAACGGCUUACCAAGGCAACGAUGCGUAGCCGACCUGAGAGGGUGAUCGGCCACACUGGAACUGAGGCACGGUCCAGACUCCUACGGGAGGCAGCAGUAGGGAAUCUUCCGCAAUGGGCGAAAGCCUGACGGAGCAACGCCGCGUGAGUGAUGAAGGUCUUCGGAUCGUAAAACUCUGUUAUUAGGGAAGAACAAAUGUGUAAGUAACUAUGCACGUCUUGACGGUACCUAAUCAGAAAGCCACGGCUAACUACGUG